AGCGGUAGGACUAGGACACUGUGGUGGCCUAGUGGCUAGCAUGGCUAAUGUACCAGCUGUGAAUAACCUCUUUUUUUUCUUAUCCCAUCCACCCAACAGAUGUCUCUCUGUCAUUGUCAUGUCCUCAAGCUAUCCUGGCACAAGUGGGUGGCUCUGGUGCUGUGAACAAAGGCGAGGAAUGAAGAGUUUACUGCUCAUUCGUAGUGACAUAACAAAUGCAGUUGCUAUAAUUUUAAAACAGAGGCAUUUUUAAAGAUGCUGAAAGACAUACGAAGAGGAUGGGACCUUGAGGCACCCCAUUAACCAACUGUGGAAUUGAUUUCACCUGACCAUUAGUGGGCAUAAUUAUAACACCAGUUUAUAAUUCUUAGCUCAACGUUGACAACUGGUUCAGAAGAAUACCAUGGUCACUGACAAUGAAACGUCUCAGAAGGCCAAAUAACUGAUAAAGUUUCAUAACCUAAGUUGUACACUUACCAAGGGUGUUUCCUUCCCCAAACUAGGCAUAAAACCAAAUAAAAAUAAUGUAGACAGCUAUUCUAGCAGUGAUGGUUUGUUUAAAAAUAAACAUAUGAAACAAGCAGAAACAAAAUUUGCUGAAAUUUAAGGACAUUGCUCAGAUUGCAGAUCCCUUAUUGCUCUGAUAAUUUGGAAAGUUUGCACAAUUUUCCAGCUAUCCAGAUGCAUUUUUAACCCUUGACCAAUAAAUAAACAACUUUCUGAGAUGUUCUGACUAACAAUGACAUUGUUUUUAGUGACUUUUUCUGGAGAGUAUAAUGAGUGGCAAAAUAUUAAUAAAAAUCCAUAAAUGGCUUUA